rnacentral:lncRNA from 1 species
UACGUUUAGAUUUUUCUUUGUGAAAUGCACAUUGCACUUCACUGUAUUGAACAUUAAUAGAGUUUGCCAAAAGUAUUCAAGCCAUAUUAGAUUGAUUGUGUGUUUUAUUUACUUUAUGUGUACGGGUGCUUUGCCUGCAUGUAUGUCUGUGUCCACACAUGUGGAAUGCCCAAGGAAGCCAGGAGAGGAAGUCACAUCCUCUGGGACUAGGGUUGCAGGUGGUUGUGAGCUACCAAGGACUUGCAGUCUUAAUUUUGGGUGACUGUCAAUUUAAGUCUGGAUUUAAAAACGAAACACUGUCAUCAAAGUGUAUCAGGUUAAGUGCUGAAAUAGUGACACAUGUGUAGUCGUGAUGACAAAGGGUUUCGAAUUCAAGGAGUUAGACUUGAACCCAACGUGCAAUAAGAGCCACCUAUGAACUUCAUUUUGGCAACUCUAAUUAUUUAUGGCAGAAACUCCUCUCAAGGAACACAGGAGAGUAAUUGUGUCUUUACAAAAAGUCACAAUCUGGAUCCAGGGCUGGGUGUGGUGUGGCAUAUCAUUGAUUCCCAGCACUUGAAAGCCAGAGGCAGUCAGAUCUCUCAAGUCCAAGUCAACCAGGGUGCUCAGUAAGGUCCUGCCCCCAAAACAAAAUAAAAAUCCAGACAGGCGGUCCCCAGCUCCGAAAAAAAGAACCAAAAAAAAAAAAAUCCA